rnacentral:rRNA from 1 species
CCUACGGGAGGCAGCAGUGGGGAAUCUUGCGCAAUGGGCGAAAGCCUGACGCAGCGACGCCGCGUGAGGGAUGAAGGUCUUCGGAUCGGAAACCUCUGUCAGUAGGGAAGAACGGUCACUGUGCUAAUCAGCAGUGAAUUGACGGUACCUGCAAAGGAAGCACCGGCUAACUACGUGCCAGCAGCCGCGGUAAUACGGAGGGUGCGAGCGUUAAUCGGAAUUACUGGGCGUAAAGCGCUCGUAGGCGGGAUGUCAAGUCAAGGGUGAAAUCCCCGCGCUCAACGUGGGAACUGCCUUUGAAACUGGCAAACUGGAGUGUGUGAGAGGAUAGUGGAAUUCCAGGUGUAGGAGUAAAAUCCGUAGAUAUCUGGAGGAACAUCAGUGGCGAAGGCGACUAUCUGGCACAUAACUGACGCUGAGGAGCGAAAGCGUGGGUAGCAAACAGGAUUAGAUACCCUUGUAGUC